CCAAGAUCGAGCUUCAGUAAGGGUUUUGAUACUGUAUCGAGUAGCUGACUACGAUUAGAGGUAAACAAAAAGUCGUGUUUCAAUUAAAAAGAGUCAUUGUGGAAAUAAUUAUUCGAUUAGAAAUUAGGGAAAGAUAAAGCGGCACGGCGAAUUUUGAAAAAGAAAAAACCAUUAUUAUACUAACGUUUCUAAAUAGUGAGAAAUUAAUUUUAAAAAAUCUUUUAUUUUUUAAUUUAAUGUAGCAUUUAUUAAAUUAAUUAUUAAUUUGUAAUCAUAGCUAUUUACUCCACAGGCAUCUAUGGCAAUUGGCAACCUCUCUUUCUAUACAAAUAAUAAUAAUAAUGCAGCAUUUGGCACUAUUCGUCUGCUGUUCUGCAUUGAGGCGUCUGCUACUGUCUUUCCAAAUUCUCCGCUUGGAUCAGUAGAAAUUACUGAUGCAAGCUGAGAAUCUCAGCUACUUGAUACGACCCGUGUGUCGUGAAAAGGAGUGUCUUGUUCUUAUUGAGUAAUAUUUUAGUUAUAUUUUUUUUAUUUAUUUAGAUGGAAGGGAGUCUGUUUGGGCAAAGGGUGGCAAUGGAAAAGGGGAAGCAUGCAUCGAAACUAUAAAAUCAAGCUAACAUAGAUCCUGUUCUGAAUGCACUCAGGGCAGUUGACAGAUUUAAGGAUUUAAAAAAUAAUAAUUUAUCAACCCGACUGAUAAAAGCCAACUGCCGAUACCACAAUCUAGCUCAGCUGAUUCCAAAUGUCCGGAAUCACAGCUGGAGUUUCAAUUUUUAAUCAUAAUCAAUAAAAUUACUUCAAUUCUAGUAACACUAACUAUUUUUAUUUUAUCUGUUUCAGAGUAAACAACUGAUUUUGAAUAGACAGUCAAACUCACAAUGAAGACCAGGUGUUGGUGCAGCAGAAGUGGUCAGAAAAACUGAAAUUUCAUCAAGUAGUAGGUGUAAAGUUUAUGUGGAAUAUAUGUUUCAGAGCCAGCCUAAGUGCUGGAUGUGUGCUUGCACAAAUCCGGUGAAUUUCACAAAAAAAUAUUGAACAAAAAAAUACCAAUAAUACACAUAUUAUUUUUGCAUUUAUUCGAUCUAGUGCAAUAUUGGACUUUAGCGACAAAACGCAAAUAAAUGUGUUUCUUUUAAAA